CACGUAGGGCGCAAGCGUUGUCCGGAAUUAUUGGGCGUAAAGAGCUCGUAGGCGGCCUGUUGCGUCUGCUGUGAAAUCCCGGGGCUCAACCCCGGGCGUGCAGUGGAUACGGGCGGGCUAGAGGCAGGCAGGGGAGAACGGAAUUCCCGGUGUAGCGGUGAAAUGCGCAGAUAUCGGGAGGAACACCGGUGGCGAAGGCGGUUCUCUGGGCCUGUUCUGACGCUGAGGAGCGAAAGCAUGGGGGAGCGAACAGG
rnacentral:rRNA from 1 species